rnacentral:lncRNA from 1 species
GUUCUUUCUAGCCUUCACAAGUAUGGAAAGCAUUACAACAGAGAAAAAACAUAGAAGGGGAUAAAUAUGAGUUCUGAGUGCAAGAACACAAUAGUCAGUGAAUUCCCAAGUGGAAAUUACAUUGAGUAAUAUGUCUGCAAGAGACAACCAGAAGACGUCAAGUGAAAAUGAAGAGCAAGUUGGGAAAUACAUAUGCUGGGUUUUUAAAGAAAAGUUCUAAUGUCAUAUGACUUUAUUAUCUUUAAAUAAAAUGAGUUAAAUAGGUAA